UAAGCGGAGGAAAAGAAACUAACAAGGAUUCCCCUAGUAACUGCGAGUGAAGCGGGAAAAGCUCAAAUUUAAAAUCUGGUGGUCUUUGNNCAUCCGAGUUGUAAUUUAGAGAAGCGUCUUCCGCGCUGGACCGUGCACAAGUCUCCUGGAAUGGAGCGUCAUAGAGGGUGAGAAUCCCGUCUUUGGCACGGACACGCCAGGGCUUUUGUGAUGCGCUCUCGAAGAGUCGAGUUGUUUGGGAAUGCAGCUCAAAAUGGGUGGUGAACUCCAUCUAAAGCUAAAUAUUGGCGAGAGACCGAUAGCGAACAAGUACCGUGAGGGAAAGAUGAAAAGCACUUUGGAAAGAGAGUGAAACAGUACGUGAAAUUGUUGAAAGGGAAACGCUUGAAGUCAGUCGCGUCGACCGAGACUCAGCCUCGCCUUGGCUUGGUGUAAUUCUCGGCUGACGGGUCAGCAUCAAUUUUGCCUCUUGGAUAAUGGCGAGGGAAAUGUGACACCUUUACGGUGUGUUAUAGUCUCUCGUCGCAUGCAAGGGUUGGGAUUGAGGAACUCAGCACGCGCCUUCGGGUGUCGGGGUUACGCCCACGAUACGUGCUUAGGAUGUUGGCGUAAUGGCUUUAAACGACC
rnacentral:rRNA from 1 species